AGCGGAUGUAGUUCAGUUGGUAGAACGCUAGUCUUCCAAACUCGAUGUCGCGGGUUCGAGUCCCGCUAUCCGCUA
rnacentral:tRNA from 1 species